rnacentral:lncRNA from 1 species
AGCGCCUCCUACCGCAAAAUACAGCUUCUAGUCCGCGGCCGCCCGGCCGCCUAAACCAAGGAGCCCCUCAGGUAUGCCGAAUGUCCUUUCUACAACCAUUCAUAUCUCACAAUGCAAAAAACCCGAUCGAGCGGGCCACCAAGUUAAUGUUGUGCAUCUAGCGAUAUUUUGGACUGAAAUAAUACCACAUCUAGCUCAUACUCCAAUCGACCUACCACCAUCUUUCGGAGAUUUAGUUGAUUGGCUAGCCGCCCGGGCUGUGCUGCCACUACGAGACCGAAAAUGGAAAACUUGAAUUUCCAACAGAGUACACCCAGCCUAUCAUAAAAGACCUGCUAGCUGAUACGAUCCAUAAGAGCACGUCUUGCCUCCAUCAUUCCACUCCUUAAUUCUUAAUGUAGUUAGCUAGCCAAUUUCUUUCUUACAUAUUUUGGGUUAGAUAUCAUUGCGAUUUGUGAUUUAUCACCUCUGAGUUCAAAAUGAUGAAGUUUCGCAGUGGGGUCAGAAGGAUGGCUUGGCUCCGCUCCCUGCUCCCCAGCCGCCUAGCCUAGCCGAGCCCACCGUCGCCGACGCCCCCCGCCGGUGGCCCUCCCGCCUCC